ensembl:snoRNA LOC120101270 small nucleolar RNA SNORA48
UCACCCAUCAAUGGAUGAAGAGACACCUUGUUGGUGGCAUUGCCUUGUAUCGGUCAGGGGCAGAGUAGAUGACAGUCUUUGUUCAUCCUAGCUUGAUGCCUGGCUUGGUGGCCAAAGCUGUCUUAUGUCUAGGACACGUAA